UGAUAAUUUGCCAUGGAUUUUAGCAACCUCAGUAUAUGGCUUCUGUCUUUGCUUCUUGAACACUUUCACAUUUUCAUUUAAAAAGACUACUUUCUGACUUCUCUUUGGUCUAUCCAAGUUUCCAGCAUCACUUGUUACUCUCAUGCUUUGAGGCCUUCACUAAGUAUAAUAAAAGUUUCUUGAACGUAAGCACUGUGGUACUAUGACAGUCAAUCUGACAAUAUAGAUGAGGACCAAAUAACUGAUGCCUGGGAAUGUACGUAGCAUUUGUAAUUAAGUGGGUCUGGAGUGUCCCCCAAACACUCCAUGUUAAAGGCUUUGUCUACAGCUGCUGGUGCUACUUGGAGGUGGAGGAAAUUUUAGGUGGUAGGGGCAGCUGGAAGAGAUGAGUCUCUGGGGCCAGGCCAUGAAGGAUAUCUCUCAUGCACAAGCCCUUCAGUGGUAGCUCUCUUCUUCUGCUUCCUGGCUGCCACAAGGUGAGCAGAUUUCUUCCUCCGUUCCUUUCUGUCAGGACUCUUCUGCUUCACCACAGGCUUCACAGCAGUAAGUCAGUCCACCAUGGGUCGAACUCUCUGAACUUUCUGACACCAUCAGCCAAAAUAAGCCUCUCCUCCUUUUAAGUUGUUUAUGUCAGUAUUUUAUCACAGUGAUGCGCUGGCUAACAGAGGGAUAAAUCACAUCCCAUGUGAGGUGAAGCAGCUACUCAGAAUGCUUUAAAUUAAAAACCUGUGAAAUGUUUACUUCUACACUUUUCUGUUUGAUACUUGCAGACCAUAGUUGACCAUGAGUAACUGAAAUCUUAGGAAGCAAAACCAGAGAACAGUUGUGACUGCUGUGCAUGAAAGUGAAAGAGGACUAGAGGAUGUCACACCAUGUGGGCCCCUUUGCUCUGUAGGGCAUGCUAUUGUUGUUAAUCUUGUGCUAUGCUUGACUAAAUUAAACUUUCUCAGAGAUGCUGUGUAUAAGAACAAAUCAUCAUAUAAGCAGGACUUUGUGCUCUCCACAAUUCUGAUCAUCCACAGGACUCUUGGAAUGUGUCCUUCAUGGAUAAAGGAGGGCUCCUAUCUCUGCUAUGGCUUCAUCUGCUGGUCCUAUCUUCCUCACCUUUCCAGAGCCCACCGUGUUUCUAUCAUUUUGAAUUCCCAGGCCUCUCUGGGUUGAGCACAGUGUCACUCAGGUUGUCUCAAUGGUCAUCUGUGCUGAGAGACAUGGUCCUCUCCACCUGCACACUUCUGGGUGGAAUUUCAAACUCCUUUCCUGAUGUUCUCUCUGGUCUGCUCACUCAGAGCCUCCCUAUGUACUGGGGUGCAUCUUUGUUGGUGGAAAAAGCCACUUACAUUUCUAGAAAUUGCCAGAGGAAAAGACUGUAUUCUUGUUGCUGUGGCCUAUGAUUCAGUCAAUGUACCAUGUUGAAUGAAUGAAGGACAGAUUUAAUGCCCUGCAAUCACUGACAGGGAGGGAUCUUCAAGAGUUUGCAGUGAUCUAGGGAAGUUUUGACCUCACAAGUUAAUUUGCUGGUGUGUGCCAGAUGCUGUCUUGAUUCUUGGGAAACAUUCAAAUAAGAUUAAAGUUUUCUUAGUCAUCGAUGAGAAGGUAAAUUCUGGGCAGAGGUAAUGAAACAAAACUACAAAAGUAAAUGUGUACUUAAGGAAGAAAAGAGUCAGCCUUUCAUAUCUGUUCUUCCAUAUUUGCAGAUUCAGUCAAAUGCAAAUUGAAAAUAUUUGGAAAAUAUUGUCUGUAUUGAACAAUGUGUAAGUUUCUCUUGUCAUUAUUCCUUAAGCAACACAAUAUAAAAGCUAUUUACAUAGCAUUUACAUUGAAUUAGGUAUUAUACCUCAUCUAGAUGUGAUUUUAAAUCUAUGGAAAGAUGUGUGAGUAUUACAUGCAGAUACAACACCAUGUUUUACAAGAAAUGAGCAUCUCAAUUUUGGUGUCCUCAGAGAGCCCUGGAACCAAUCUCUGAUAGGUACUUAGGAUAAAAGUAAUUUGGACACAAUCUUUAUUGACUGGGGACCUCCUUUACCAUUUUACUCCUACGUGGAGCACUAUAUCAAGUUCUGGUAAUGUUGGGUUGAAUCUCUGAAGUUUUCUGCCUUCAGAAGUAGCAGUUUCCUGAGAGAAGACAGAUAUACUUGCUGCAGUACACAAGAGGAAUUGGGGCCAGAAGGUAGGACCCAAACAAGGUAAUGCUGAGGCUGGUGGGUGUCAGCUGGAGAGCGUGGAGCCUGAGAGGUAGCAGGAACUGAAGGCAGGUAGGAGGAGGAACUCUUGGACUUGUAUCUGAGAUAUGAAAGGUAAGUAAAAUCUACCUUUCCUGAAUUUUCCUGAUUGUUCUCAGUGAAAGUGUAGACUCUGAUUGUAGGAAUGUGACUUUGGAGAUGAAGCUCACCUCUGUGCCUCUGUGACUAUGUGAGACUGCAGUCCAGGUAGUGGGAAGUGGGUGUUUGCACCUCAGCAAGGGCCAGGGCAUCUUCAUCUCCUCCAACAGUGCAUGCCAUAACUACAGGGUGCUUGGAAGGGUCAGAUUAAAGACGGGACCUUUCGAUGGGGAGUUGAGUAAAAUGGGGUCAUGCCAGUGGUCACCAAUCCAACAAGACUGAUGUCUUUGUAGGAAGAAUUGGGACCCAGACAGAUACAGAGGGGUGACUAUAUGGUGACACAGGGAAUGACAGCCUCUGCAGGACAAGGAGUAUGGCCUCAGGAGAGACCAGGCCUGCCCACACCUUGACCUAGGACUUGCAGCCUUCAGGCCAGUGAGGAAUGCUCUUCCACUGUUGAGCCACCCAGAUGUGGUCUAUGUUAUGGCAGCCUGAGCUGCCACACAUCAGGUAAUGAAAGGCUAUGACAGAGGCGAGAGUGAUGGAGAAAAUAUGACAUUUUAAAGAGACAAGACCAUGUUUCAGGACUUAAGACCUUUCCUGGUAUUUAAGGAAAGUGGUUUUGGCUUCCAAAGAAAGGAACCUGGAGCUCAGUGGGUGAAAUAAGAACUCGCCAUGGAUGUCCUUCACAAGAACUCAUAGCUCUUGUCACUAGUAUCUGGAGCCUAGACUCUAGGGUUUACAGCUUUAAAAAUAUCCCUCAUCUAUUUUCUGCAUUUCAUUUUCUUCCAUGGCUUUGUACAGGAAGAGUGAGCAGAACAGCAGCGAUAACACCAGAUCGUGUUUUACCAGCUGAGUCCAGAAGAAGAAAGGAGGCUGAACCGUUCUGACCAGAGACCCUUCUGCUGCUCUGGCUCUACAUCUGAAACCUGGGACCAGUGGAGACUGAAGGACACAGCCCCAGUGUGCCAAGGGCCAGACACGAUGCACAGAGCAUUUCCAAAGCAACCUACUCAGGAGGAAGGAAGCCCUGCUUGUGCACUCUACCACCUAGUGAGCACCAAGUCACAUACCCAUGCUGCUCUGGUGGAGGUGGAGGCAGUGUCCUGUAGCUAAGACGUCUGUUUAAUUGCCAGGCAAGCCAGAGUUUGCAUGCUACCUGGCAGGAGCUCCAAGACAAUCUUCAUCACCUGGAACCAUUCUGAGAGGGAAAGAAGAAGGGGCAGAUGCUGAAGAAAUUCCAGGAGCUUCUAAUGAAUUAAAGCUGCACUUGCCUGAAGAAGCCAGCCAAGUUACUGACUAGUUUGCAAAUAAUUAUGUGCAUGGAAGGAUAAGAAGAUAUGCAAUCAUGUUGCUUUUCAGUCACCACUAUUAUUUCUGCCAAAUUUGUUGUCUGUAUAUGAAUGCAUGAGAAAUUAAUUUCUGAAUGCUCAAAUUUACAUAGAAACAUAGCAUGGAAGAUGGGAAAAUUUAAAAGGAAAUUCACAUGUUCAUGUAUACCUAAUUAGAAUAACUGCAAAAAAGAGCAAUGUCACACAGGAAAUGAAUGUGAAUGUGUUCCCUGAAGAGAGCUUUGCCUUAAAAAGAAAAAGAAAAGCAGUUAUUCAUUGUCAUGCAAGACUUCAAAGUAGAGUCAAUGAUUAAAAGUUGCCACUGCCCACAAUCUAGCCUUGUAAUACAUUCUUUUUUAUUUUUUUCUGUCUUUUUCAGUACCAGGGAUCGAACUCAAGACUGCCUGCUUGCAAGGCAGGUGCUUAUGCCGCUGAGCUAAAUCCCCAGCCCCUUACAUUCUUUUUUUUUUUUUACAUCAAAUGUUCUUUUUAGCAAAUUUUCUUUUGUUUGUUGAGAAGAGAACUUAUUUUUCUUUUUCUUUGAAUAAUUAUUUUUCUUUUAAUAAUUAAUUUCCAUCUUGACAUCAUUUCCCAUGUUGAAGGUAUAAACUAAAGAUUUUAGAGACUUCCAGUUCUUUUUAAUAUUCUUCACAAAUUUGACUCUGAAAGUACUUUAUUGCUAUAUUGAUUGUAUGGGGCACUGCAUGCAUACAAACCUUGCAUCUUCUUCAGUACAUAAAGAGAUAUACUGUUUGCGUAACUCCUUUUGUGAGAGACAGACAAUACUUCUGGAGAUCAUACUUUGGGGUGAAAUCUUUGCAUAUGUGAUAGUAAUCAACAAUGGUUUGUGAUUACUCUUGUUGAAAGACUAAGAUUAUUCAUCAUACUAUUCCAUAGGAGCUGGCUGCAAAGCUGGAUUUUCACAGUGGCCAAGCAGAAUGAAGUUCUACAUUUUUCUUUUUGAUCUAUUUGCAAAAUAAGCAGUUUGUGAUGAUUGUUGUGUUUAUGCUUGUAGAAAUAUAUAUCAUUGUUUCUUAUUUUAUUGUGUAGAGUGGCUUAUGAAGU